UGCAAGGUAAAAUUGCAUCAGAGUUCCCCA
rnacentral:piRNA from 1 species